rnacentral:rRNA from 1 species
GGCGAACGCUGGCGGCGUGCUUAACACAUGCAAGUCGAACGGUGACGAGGAGCUUGCUCCUCCGAUCAGUGGCGAACGGGUGAGUAACACGUGAGUAACCUGCCCCAGACUCUGGGAUAACAGUUGGAAACAGCUGCUAAUACCGGAUACGAGACGGAGAGGCAUCUCUACCGUCUGGAAAGUUUUUCGGUCUGGGAUGGACUCGCGGCCUAUCAGCUUGUUGGUGAGGUAAUGGCUCACCAAGGCGACGACGGGUAGCCGGCCUGAGAGGGCGACCGGCCACACUGGGACUGAGACACGGCCCAGACUCCUACGGGAGGCAGCAGUGGGGAAUAUUGCACAAUGGGCGAAAGCCUGAUGCAGCGACGCCGCGUGAGGGAUGACGGCCUCGGUUGUAACCGUCUUUCAGCAGGGAAGAAGCGAAAGUAGACGGUACCUGCAGAAGAAGCACCGCGUAACUACGUGCCAGCAGCCGCGGUAAACGUGUAGU